GGGAACCGGACCUGUCUUGAUAUUGAACUGGCGUCGAGGACGAGGACCAAGCUCUGGUUACGUGUGUGGACAACCACUGUCCAGCCAGCACAUGGCUCCUGUCCCUCCCAACUUGGUGGCAGAGGAUGACCGAGAUGGGAAGAUGAGAUUCCUGCUGCCGGCAGCCAGCACUCACAGGGGUCAGCCAUCCGUCCCCAGAGCCUGUGUUUGGGCCCAGCACUGCCCUGGAGGGUCCCAGCAGGUGGCCUGCGUGGGAACCACCCCCAAGGGCUGAGCUUGUGGAAUCCUGGGAUGGUAGCAGCAGGGCCAGCAUCCUGUCCCCAGAACAUGGCCCCGGCUCAGCACCCCUGGGCGACACUCAGCCCCUGACCCGCCCGGGAUGGCCAGCACAGACCUGAGCCCGCACCCUGCUGCCUAGUCAGUGGUCAGUGGACACAGACUGGAACCUCAGAAUCUGAGCCAAAGAAACCCUUCUUCCUCUACGUUGAUUUUCUUUCUUUCUUUUUUUCUUUCUUUCCUUCCUUCUUUCUAGAAAUAGAAUUUUAUUGUAUCUUUUAAGUAA